rnacentral:rRNA from 1 species
UACGUAGGGCGCAAGCGUUGUCCGGAAUCAUUGGGCGUAAAGAGCUCGUAGGUGGUCUGUUACGUCUGCUGUGAAAACCUAGGGCUUAACCCUGGGCCUGCAGUGGAUACGGGCAGACUAGAGGUAGGUAGGGGAGAAUGGAAUUCCCGGUGUAGCGGUGAAAUGCGCAGAUAUCGGGAGGAACACCGGUGGCGAAGGCGGUUCUCUGGGCCGAUACUGACGCUGAGGAGCGAAAGCGUGGGGAGCGAACAGG